rnacentral:rRNA from 1 species
CACGCCCUAAACCGAAUGCGCGUUAGGUGUAUCGGUGACCACGAGUCACCGAGGUGCCGAAGGGAAACCGUGAAACGUGCCGCCUGGGAAGUACGGUCGCAAGGCUGAAACUUAAAGGAAUUGGCGGGGGGAGGCACCACAACGGGUGGAGCCUGCGGUUUAAAUUUGGACUCAACGCCGGGAAGGCUCACCGGAUAAGACAGCGGAAUGAUUGCCGGGCUGAAGACCCUGCAUGACCAGCUGAGAGGAGGUGCAUGGCGUAGUCGUGU